rfam:Myotis lucifugus cont2.7438, whole genome shotgun sequence.
CUGUCUCUUGCUUCAACAGUGUUUGGCCGGAACAG